AAACCACUACAAUUUCUUAGGAAGAGCCAAAGUCCUUAUAUACAUAUGUGGGAGUUAUUUCCUGCCAGAGAUCCAGCAGUAAUGCAUUCUAGACCUGCGACCAGGAUUCGCUGCACUUGCUCUUGUUUUCACCAAGACAGCAGCAUCAGUAGCAGUGGCGUCAGCAGCAUUGACAUCAGGAGGAGCAGUUAGUGACGACCACGACCUGCGGCAGCCCAAGGAUCAGCAGCCACAUACGGUUGCAAGCGGAUCGCGCUUGCCAAAGGCUGCACUACAGCCGGAGCAUAUGGUUCCCUGCGGUCUCUUGAUGGUUUUUGAAGUAGCAGUUUCUUCCGUACUUUUGCCGCAUCGACCAAAAGCACGUUUUCCAUCCUGAAAUAAAUAUUUUGUAAACUUU